GUAAUUCACUAUUGUAAGUCGCUUUGGACAAAAGCGUCUGCCAAAUGCAAUGUA
rfam:Astyanax mexicanus chromosome 20, whole genome shotgun sequence.